UGGAGGACCGAACCGACUAAUGUUGAAAAAUUAGCGGAUGACCUGUGGCUGGGGGUGAAAGGCCAAUCAAACCGGGAGAUAGCUGGUUCUCCCCGAAAGCUAUUUAGGUAGCGCCUCGUGAAUUCAUCUCCGGGGGUAGAGCACUGUUUCGGCUAGGGGGCCAUCCCGGCUUACCAACCCGAUGCAAACUGCGAAUACCGGAGAAUGUUAUCACGGGAGACACACGGCGGGUGCUAACGUCCGUCGUGAAGAGGGAAACAACCCAGACCGCCAGCUAAGGUCCCAAAGUCAUGGUUAAGUGGGAAACGAUGUGGGAAGGCCCAGACAGCCAGGAUGUUGGCUUAGAAGCAGCCAUCAUUUAAAGAAAGCGUAAUAGCUCACUGGUCGAGUCGGCCUGCGCGGAAGAUGUAACGGGGCUAAACCAUGCACCGAAGCUGCGGCAGCGAC
rnacentral:rRNA from 1 species